rnacentral:rRNA from 1 species
UUUCGACACACUAUCAUUAACUGAAUCCAUAGGUUAAUGAGGCGAACCGGGGGAACUGAAACAUCUAAGUACCCCGAGGAAAAGAAAUCAACCGAGAUUCCCCCAGUAGCGGCGAGCGAACGGGGAGGAGCCCAGAGUCUGAAUCAGUGUGUGUGUUAGUGGAAGCGUCUGGAAAGGCGCGCGAUACAGGGUGACAGCCCCGUACACAAAAAUGCACAUACUGUGAGCUCGAUGAGUAGGGCGGGACACGUGGUAUCCUGUCUGA